ensembl:lncRNA
GGUUUCUCAAAUGUACUGUUUAUCACUUCUUUUGCAGGAAAUACAAUAAAGAAUUGCCAUCCCAGUCCCCUGAAUUGAAACCCAUAGAAAACCUGUGGGGUGAACUGAAGAGGAGGGUCCACUAGAGUCGACCUCGAAAUAUGAAGGAUCUGGAGAGAUUCUGGAGGAACAGUCUCGGAUCCCUUGCCAUGUAUUGUCCAACCUCAUCAGGCAAUAUAGGAGAAGACUCAGAGCUAUUAUCUUGGCAAAGGAAGGAACUGCCCAUUUCCACCAUCAGGGCAAUAAUUAAGAAGUUCCAGUCAACUAGAAAUGUUAUGAAUCAACCUGGAAGAGGACGUGUGUCUAUAUUGUCUCAACACAUUGUGAAGAGGAUGGUUCGAAUGGCCAAAAAAUCUAGUUAGUUGCAUCCUGGGGUCAGAAAGUCUCCAAAACCACAAUCUGAAGUCACCUACAUCA